rnacentral:misc_RNA from 1 species
GUAGGUGAACCUGCGGAAGGAUCAUUAAACUAAGCCGGCCUGGAAACGGGCUUCGGCGUCGGGUCUCGCUUUGCAAAAAGUGUAGGCUGUCUGAAAACCCUUGAAUAUAAAACUUCGUUGCUUUGGCAGGCCGCCUCCUUUGGCGUUGGCCCCGGCUAACAGCGCCUGCCAGAGGCCAAAAACUCUACUGUCUUUGACGUCUGAG